rnacentral:lncRNA from 1 species
UUGGGUACGCGCCUGCCGCAGUAGUUCACGAGGAGGCUCAGGUUGAUGGGCAGGUUGAUGGUGAUGCCCAGCACGUUGGCGCGCAGGGCCGUGCACAGGCACACCGCCGCCUCAAGGUCCGCCAGGCCCUGGAUCAGCGUGCAGCACGGCGUCCGCGGCGGCGUCCCGAGGGUCACGUUGAUCAGCCCCUGUAGCACGUUGGCGCACACACCAAGCUUCAGGGCAUCGAUGGGGCACCUACGACCUUGGCCUCCGCCUCCUCCGCUGCCGCCGCCGCCGGUGCCGCCCCCUCCGCUCCCGCCCCCGCCGGUGCCGCCGCCUCCGGUGCCUCCCCCGCCGGUGCCGCCGCCUCCGGUGCCGCCCCCGCCGGUGCCGCCCCCUCCGGUGCCGCCCCCUCCGGUGCCGCCGCCUCCGGUGCCGCCCCCUCCGCUCCCGCCCCCGCCGGUGCCGCCCCUCCGCUUCCGCUGCCGCCUCCACCACCAGAGGAUCCUCCGCCGCCUCCCCCACCGCUCCCACCCCCGCCGGUGCCGCCCCCACCGCCUCCGCUGCCGCCUCCACCACCACCACCACCGCCACCGCCGCCUGGGCUAGGACAGGUGCCGCACUUGCAGCCGCAGGCGUCGGCGAAGGCGAAGAAGAGGAGGUUGAGGGCCAGGAGCGUGGCGACCACGGAGGCUUUCUUCGCCGCCAUGCUGGCUUGCGGGCUAGCUAGUGCUUCUGCUAUCUCUGUGCCGCACUAGU